GCAGGCACCCACUGCCCGAAUCUAGCAGGUUCCAACGUGUCUGAACAGGUAACGAGAAAGGUGGCUUAACCUUUGGUCUCUGCGCACCCGGGAACAUUGCCCUCCGAGCAAGAUGUCAUUUACUCAAAGAAGUAAUUAAAUCUGGUGGCAUAGUGCUAAUCGAGGUGGCAUUCAGCACUCGGAGCUGGAAAAUUCCUCCCCUUUGUAAAUGCCCAAACCUGGGGCACCUUAUUAUUCAAGUUUCUAAUUAAAAAGGAACAGGAGCAGCUCAAUAACCCGCAGCCAUCCAUCACGCUCAUGACCUAAUGACAGAGCGCAGAGUCGGAAGACGCUCUCCUCUCCCCUGCGCCCCGCGAGGCUCCACGAGAAGGCGGGAAGCACGGCCGGCUCGGGCCCUUCCCUCGCUGCUGACUUAACUGUCACCCCGCAUCGCUGCUGCUGAACUGCACGGAAGGUAUUUCUAAUCUCCUAACGGUGACUGGAAGGGGCUGAAGGACACAAAUUAAGUCUUGGAGCAGUGCAGCUGAGGAGGAAUGGAAGCCUUCAGAGAGAUAGAAGAUGACGUGAGAAUAAACUGACCAACUAUUCUAGAAACAGAGAGGGGAGCAAAUAGAACCACGACCUUUGUUGGGUGCGGUAAGUCAAGAUUCAGUCUGGAGGGACCAGCCCAGCUCUGAAAGGUAGAAGACAUCGGGGGAGAGCCUGCGGUGGAGGAGGAGGGCCAUUUUCUAGCCUGAGCAACCACAAUAAUGGGGCGUAUGGAUACAGAUGUGGCAUUUUGAACUCUCUAAAUUUAAACCAUCUGGGCUUGUGACAGAGCAAGCUCAUGAAAGAAAGAGUAUAGGAGAAGAGACCCAAGGACUAAGCCCUCCUCAUUUGUGCUAAAGGGA